ensembl:lncRNA
UUUUUUGAACUGGAGGUCCUUGAAGGGUAAUACAGUUUGAAGCUGGAGGAUCAAUAUAUAAAUAUCCGAUAGCAGCUAGGUCCGCUAACUUUCAGCAGCUGUUGAAAGGAUAAAGUUGUGGUAUGUCAGUGGUUAGAAAAACCAUUAUUACUUUAGGAUUAGUUUAACUCAAAGUCAGGGUCGACCCGGGACCUUUGCUGUGAGUCACAGUGCGCAGCAUAAAGGUCCUUUCACAUCGGACGCAGGAUGUGCUGCUAAUGCUAACUAAAAGCUAAGGAUCCAGAAUUUGUUGCGUUGGCUGCUGAGCUCUCAGCGCUCCACUCCUCCUCUCCUGUACAUGUGAACUGCAGUGACGUCACCAUCACACAGAGAGACAACAGGAGAGGUAAAAGUCCUGAUGAUCCAGAUGUUAUCUACUCUGAUGUGAGGACUCGCACUUCAGGCCCUGAUGAUGUUGUUUACCGUGAGGUGAUCUUCAGAAGGUAGAGGAAAGCUGGUGAGACAACAGAGCAGUCAGCUGAUCCAGGUGUUGUGCAUUGAUUGAGAGCAGGAAGCUGAGGACACACUCGGUCUGAUGGACGACCUUCAUCCUUCACUCUGCUCCUCUUCUUCUCUUUGUGUCUCCUGAAACUCAGUUAUUUGAUUGUUCAUCAUGAAGAGCUGCACAAAACAUUUUAAACUUUUUAGGAUUUUCUGUUUCUAUGCAGAUAUGAUCUGAUGGAAAAUAUAAAAAAUAUAUAUCAAUAACAUUUAAACAAAUAAAUCAUUCAGUAAAAUGAGCCUCAGUCUCAGGAUGUUUUUAAUAAUUCAGUUACACACAGACAGUCAGUGACGGCUCCUCUCCUCAGCUUUCCUGCUGCCAUCAGAUGCUUGUUGUUGGAAAUCUCACUCCUCAUGCACUGGUAUGAUCAGCACUUGGUGACAGUAGGAAGGAAGAACUCCCUUUAACCUGAAGAAUGUUUUACUUUUAACAUCUUUCUGUAUGAUUGUCAGUGUUUUAUGUUACUGCAUGAUUGCUUUUCUUUCAUCUUUCAAGUCUCAUGUAUUGAAUAAAAUCCCCGAAACCCAUAAAAUAAAAUCAUGUCUG